rnacentral:rRNA from 1 species
UCCAGCGAACUUGGCAGAGAUGCCUUGGUGCCUUCGGGAACGCUGAGACAGGUGCUGCAUGGCUGUCGUCAGCUCGUGUUGUGAAAUGUUGGGUUAAGUCCCGCAACGAGCGCAACCCUUAUCCUUUGUUGCCAGCGAUUCGGUCGGGAACUCAAAGGAGACUGCCGGUGAUAAACCGGAGGAAGGUGGGGAUGACGUCAAGUCAUCAUGGCCCUUACGAGUAGGGCUACACACGUGCUACAAUGGCGCAUACAAAGAGAAGCGACCUCGCGAGAGCAAGCGGACCUCAUAAAGUGCGUCGUAGUCCGGAUCGGAGUCUGCAACUCGACUCCGUGAAGUCGGAAUCGCUAGUAAUCGUGGAUCAGAAUGCCACGGUGAAUACGUUCCCGGGCCUUGUACACACCGCCCGUCACACCAUGGGAGUGGGUUGCAAAAGAAGUAGGUAGCUUAACCCUCGGGAGGGCGCUUACCACUUUGUGAUUCAUGACUGGGGUGAAGUCGUAACAAGGUAAGCGUAGCGAG